CCUACUAUAAUUAUUGAGGUAAAAUCAUACUGUAAAAAAUCCUCACUAUGUUUUCUUAACGUUCUUCUUUACACGAUCCAUUGUCAUGGGAUGGUUUGCCAAUGAAAAUAAUAUAUAACAAUAGCUUUAAUAAUACAAAAGAUGAUAUAUGGCAUAGUACAAUCAAUACAGUUCAUUAACGUUUCCUAUGAUUUACAUACUCUGGGUUGUUUUUUACAUAUCUGUUACUAUCACAAAGGGCAGUAUUCACAUCAACCAUAACUGAAUAUAAAAAGAUCGAUCAGCAUCCAGAUUAAGUUCCCAUGGUACAGAUAUUUUUUUUUGGCAGUAGUUGAUGAUUUUAUAGUACAUGAUUUUACAUUUACCCAGUA
rnacentral:lncRNA from 1 species